rnacentral:rRNA from 1 species
GCCAUACAUUUAAAGAGUGCGUAAUAGCUCACUAGUCGAGAAAACCUGCGCCGAAAAUGUAACGGGGCUAAAACACGACACCGAAGCUACGGAUUUCCUACAAGGUAGGAAGUGGUAGAGGAGCAUCCUGCAAGGACGAAGCCAAAGUGAGAGCGAUGGUGGACGAAACAGGAGAGAGAAUGCCGGAAUGAGUAGCGAGAUACAUGUGAGAAACAUGUAGGCCGAAUAUCUAAGGAUUCCUGGGUAAAGCUAAUCUUCCCAGGGUUAGUCGGGGCCUAAGGCGAGGACGAAAGUCGUAGUCGAUGGAUAACAGGUUGAUAUUCCUGUACUACACAUAAUCAGAACUGUGGGGACGCAGGAGGAUAGGGAAACCGGGGAAUGGAAAGACCCGGUCAAGCGUAAAGCUGUGGGAGAUAGGCAAAUCCGUCUUCUGUAAGUGAAACGUGAUGAGGACUGAAAAAAAGUAAGGAAGUUUCCGAAUCCACACUGCCGAGAAAAGCCGCUAUUGCGUUAUGUGUACCCGUACCGUAAACCGACACAGGUAGAUGAGGAGAAAAUCCACAGGCCGACGGGAGAAGUGUUGUUAAGGAACUCGGCAAAAUGACCCCGUAACUUCGGGAUAAGGGGAGCCUCGCAAGAGGCCGCAGAAAAGAGGCACAAGCAACUGUUUAGCAAAAACAUAGGUCUAUGCGAAACCGUAAGGUGAAGUAUAUGGGCUGACGCCUGCCCGGUGCUGGAAGGUUAAAAGGAGAGGUCAGCGCAAGCGAAGCUUUGAAUUCAAGCCCCAGUAAACGGCGGCCGUAACUAUAACGGUCCUAAGGUAGCGAAAUUCCUUGUCAGGUAAGUUCUGACCCGCACGAAAGGCGUAAUGAUUUGUGCACUGUCUCGACAACACGCCCGGUGAAAUUGAAGAACCAGUGAAGAUACUGGUUACCCGCAACAGGACGGAAAGACCCCAUGGAGCUUUACUGCAGCCUGAUACUGGGAUUCGAUGAUAUAUGUACAGGAUAGGUGGGAGGCUAAGAAGCGAGAACGCUAGUUUUCGUGGAGCCGCCGGUGGGAUACCACUCUUAUGUCAUUGAAUUUCUAACCUGCAUCCGUGAAUCCGGGUGAGGGACAAUGUCAGGCGGGCAGUUUGACUGGGGCGGUCGCCUCCUAAAAGGUAACGGAGGCGCUCGAAGGUCACCUCAGAAUGAUUGGAAACCAUUCAAAGAGUGUAAAGGCAAAAGGUGGCUUGACUGCGAGAGCGACGGGUGGAGCAGGUACGAAAGUAGGACUUAGUGAUCCGGUGGUAAUAAGUGGGAAUGCCAUCGCUCAACGGAUAAAAGCUACCCUG